GCGUCUGCUGCUGGAUGCGUUUGAUGGUGGCGCCUUUGGGGCCCACAACCAGCCCCACAACCCGGUACGGGAC